rnacentral:lncRNA from 1 species
UUAAUACAUUUUAAAUGCUUAGAAAGGUACCUGGCAAACAUUCAGCUCUAUUUAUUGUUUGUUAUUUUAUUAAAAAUAAAAUGAAUGUUAUCGAUGGACAUGGGUGAGAAGCAGUGAGGAGUAGAAAGAACAUGAGCUUGGCCAUCAGACAGACUUGCAUUUGAAUCCUGAUUCCACAACCUUUUAAAAUCAACAUUUAUAUUUUUCUAAUUAUAAAAGGCCUAUGUAUUUAUAGCAGAAAAUUUAGAAAAUACAGGAAGUAAAGACCAACCCUAAAUGUACGACAGGCAGAUGGCCACCAUAUUUCGUGUUCUUGGCAAUGAUAUUUGCACUGGAGCCUUGCUCUGAUGCUAGUGGCUUGUUGGUUUUUAUUAUUCCUCCUCUCUUUGUAUAUCCCUCAGGGAGAUAUCUAGGAAUCAUUUCAGGGCGAGGCACUGUGAAUGCUCAGUAAAGAAAAUAUUUUUUGUCAAUGAGAAGACCUUUGAUAUGUAACUCAGAGCCUUUAAUCCACACUCUUUUUAUAGUUUGUUCCUGACAUUUAGGAGCUAGGGUUUCUGGGGAUAAAGCAUGCCAAACAGCAAACUAGACCUUGUCAUAUAUGGCGAAUCCAAUUGUGUAAGUUAAUUUUCUUAUCUUUAGUCAUUGUAACAGCAACCUACACU